rnacentral:rRNA from 1 species
UAGUCAUAUGCUUGUCUCAAAGAUUAAGCCAUGCAUGUCUAAGUAUACGCAAAUUAUACUGUGAAACUGCGAAUGGCUCAUUAAAUCAGUUAUAGUUUAUUUGAUGUUUCUUGCUACAUGGAUAACUGUGGUAAUUCUAGAGCUAAUACAUGCGUAAAAAGCCCCGACUUCUGGAAGGGGUGUAUUUAUUAGAUAAAAACCAUCCUCCUCGGAGUUUGGUGAUUCAUAAUAACUUCUCGAAUCGCACGGCCUUGUGCUGGCGAUGCUUCAUUCAAAUAUCUGCCCUAUCAACUGUCGAUGGUAGGAUAGAGGCCUACCAUGGUUGCAACGGGUAACGGGGAAUAAGGGUUCGAUUCCGGAGAGGGAGCCUGAGAAACGGCUACCACUUCCAAGGAAGGCAGCAGGUGCGCAAAUUACCCAAUCCUGACACAGGGAGGUAGUGACAAAAAAUAACAAUACAGGACUUUUAAAGCCUUGUAAUUGGAAUGAGUACAAUUUAAACCCCUUAACGAGUAACAAUU